ensembl:miRNA
AGGAUGAAGCUUGGAUGUGUCAGGUAGGCAGUGCAUUGCUAGCUGGCUGUUAGAAUUUCAUCUUAACAGUUGCUAGUUGCACUCCCCUCUGCUGCAUUCUGAAACAUGC